AUCCCUGUAGCGUAAUGUAUAGCGCGUUGGACUUCUAAUUCAAAGAUCGUGGAUUCGAAUACCACCAGGGAUG